GGAAUCUUGGACAAUGGGCGAAAGCCUGAUCCAGCGACGCCGCGUGACUGAUGAAGCCCUUCGGGGUGUAAAGGUCUUUCAGCGGGGAAACUCAUGAUGGUACCCGCAGAAGCAGCUGCGGCUAACUACGUGCCAGCAGCCGCGGUAAUACGUAGGCAGCCAGCGUUGUUCGGAAUUACUGGGCGUAAAGCGAGUGUAGGCGGUUUGCCAAGUCUGCUGUGAAAUCUCCCGGCUCAACUGGGAGGGUGCGGUGGAAACUGGCAGGCUAGAGUACGGAAGGGGAGAGUGGAAUUCCUGGUGUAGCGGUGAAAUGCGUAGAUAUCAGGAGGAACACCGGCGGUGAAGACGGCUCUCUGGACCGUUACUGACGCUGAGACUCGAAAGCGUGGGGAGCAAAC
rnacentral:rRNA from 1 species